rnacentral:rRNA from 1 species
GCCAGACUCCUACGGGAGGCAGCAGUGAGGAAUAUUGGUCAAUGGGCGAGAGCCUGAACCAGCCAAGUCGCGUGAGGGAUGACGGCCCUACGGGUUGUAAACCUCUUUUGUCGGGGAGCAAAUUCCGCCACGUGUGGCGGAGUCGAGAGUACCCGAAGAAAAAGCAUCGGCUAACUACGUGCCAGCAGUCGCGGUCAUACGUAGGAUCCGAGCAUUAUCCGGAGUGACUGGGUGUAAAGAGUUGCGUAGGUGGCAUAGUAAGUAGCUAGUGAAAUCUGGUGGCUCAACCAUUCAGACUAUUAGCUAAACUGCUAAGCUCGAGACCGUUAGGGGUAACUGGAAUUUCUAGUGUAGGAGUGAAAUCCGUAGAUAUUAGAAGGAACACCGAUAGCGUAGGCAGGUUACUGGGACGGUUCUGACACUAAGGCACGAAAGCGUAGGGAGCAAACGGGAUUAGAUACCCCUGUAC